rnacentral:lncRNA from 1 species
UUUUGUUUGUUUUUUUUGGUCAGAAAAGCCCACUUUGGUUGACCGGGGAUGCAGCCCUGUUCAGUUUAUAGGACAACGUCUUAAUGUGGGAGACAUAACUAGUGAUAAACUCACAGAUCUCUGCGCCAGUGAGGAUGGGAACAGACAGCUUGCAUUGCUCCUCAUCAAAAAAGAGCCUCAAGAGACUGAAUGCAACAGCUAUGCACCAGGAUACUUUCUACUAAAGCAAGAGGGUGCUGAGCCCAUACUGGUGCGCAGAGAGCCAAAUAAGGACACCGUGGAAAGGGUUGUGAUCCCAUCAGCGUUGCAAACAAUAGCCAGACCCAAUAACAACCAUAGAGGAAAGUCACCAUCACCACUAGUGAUUCCUUCCUCUUGUAGUCGCAGAGUGGAUUCCAGUGGUCAAAAACCCAAUCAGACUAUACAACCCAGCCGAGGAACAUCUGAAAGAACAUUGGAAACCACUGAAAGCUUGUCUUCCCAAAACAAAAGACAGAAUGCCAGUGCACCAACACAGACAUCAACUUCUUCGGUGCUUCCCAAUUCAACCCAGACUCCUGCUUCCA